rnacentral:rRNA from 1 species
CCAAUAGCGUAUAUUAAAGUUGUUGCAGUUAAAAAGCUCGUAGUUGAAUUUCGGGAUCAAUUAAUUGGUCGUGCCUCUGGUACGUACUGAUUUUAUUGGUUUCUCCCUUCUGACGAACCAUGAUGUCAUUAAUUUGGUGUCGUGGAGAAUCAGGACUGUUACUUUGAAAAAAUUAGAGUGUUUAAAGCAAGCUAACGCUUGAAUACAUUAGCAUGGAAUAAUGAAAUAGGACGUUUGAUCCUAUUUUGUUGGUUUCUAGGAUCGACGUAAUGAUUAAUAGGGAUAGUUGGGGGCAUUAGUAUUCAAUUGUCAGAGGUGAAAUUCUUGGAUUUAUUGAAGACUAACUACUGCGAAAGCAUUUGCCAAGGAUGUUUUCAUUAAUCAAGAACGAAAGUUAGGGGAUCGAAGACGAUCAGAUACCGUCGUAGUCUUAACUAUAAACUAUGCCGACUAGGGAUCGGGCGGUGUUACUAUUUUGACCCGCUCGGCACCUUACG